rnacentral:rRNA from 1 species
AGAGUUUGAUCCUGGCUCAGAUUGAACGCUGGCGGCAUGCCUUACACAUGCAAGUCGAACGGCAGCGGGGACUUCGGUCCGCCGGCGAGUGGCGAACGGGUGAGUAAUAUAUCGGAACGUACCUUUCAGUGGGGGAUAACGUAGCGAAAGUUACGCUAAUACCGCAUAUUCUGUGAGCAGGAAAGCAGGGGAUCGCAAGACCUUGCGCUGAUUGAGCGGCCGAUAUCAGAUUAGCUAGUUGGUGAGGUAAAGGCUCACCAAGGCGACGAUCUGUAGCGGGUCUGAGAGGAUGAUCCGCCACACUGGAACUGAGACACGGUCCAGACUCCUACGGGAGGCAGCAGUGGGGAAUUUUGGACAAUGGGGGCAACCCUGAUCCAGCCAUGCCGCGUGAGUGAAGAAGGCCUUCGGGUUGUAAAGCUCUUUCGGCCGGGAAGAAAUCGCGCGGGCUAAUACCCUGUGUGGAUGACGGUACCGGAAUGAGAAGCACCGGCUAACUACGUGCCAGCAGCCGCGGUAAUACGUAGGGUGCGAGCGUUAAUCGGAAUUACUGGGCGUAAAGCGUGCGCAGGCGGUUUAGUAAGACAGGCGUGAAAUCCCCGGGCUCAACCUGGGAACUGCGCUUGUGACUGCUAAGCUAGAGUACGGCAGAGGGGGGUGGAAUUCCACGUGUAGCGGUGAAAUGCGUAGA